CCCAGCCAAUCGAUAUACUGUAGCUCCCAGCUGCCUUGUUUCUGGCUCUGUGGCUGGAGCUCCUUGAGGGCAGGAACCAAGACUGGGACAUUAUUUCCUGGCUUGGCAGGGCGCUUUGCCUAUUAUCACAAACAUUGCCAUUUACCAGGUGCUUACAAGGUGCCGAGCCCUUUAUAUGCAUUUUUCCCACAGUUUACACAGGAAAGUGUACACAGGAAAGGAAGGUGCAAUUAUCCCCAUUUAGAGAUGAACAAACUGAGGCAAGGUAAGUAACUGCAUAUUUAUCCAUGUGUCUUCUAGUUCCUUUCAUACAUUUAUCCAGGUUCCAUUAAAGCCUCACCAAACUUGUCAUCAAACCCAUUUUCCGGAUCAAGAACCCGAGGCCCCAGGACUACUGAGCCGAUUCCUGUGCCUCCAGAAUGCCGGGCCGGCAAUCCGACUUGAACGAAUCGCGCCGGGAACAGCGCCUCCUGCUGGCGGCGACGGCCACGCCUGCGCCACUUUCAGCCCCGCCCCUCCGGCGCCGGAAACGCCCGAAUUCUCCCUCCCGCUUCCGAAGAUUAUCGAGCGCUCCUCCGAAGGUCUGGGCGCGGAGAAGUCCGGCGCAGAGCCGGGACCCGACUUCCCGGCAGCCUUAGUCGCUGCGGCUUCGGGUCAGAGCCAUCCCCGGGGACCGCGGGAAGGUGGAGGCGGCCUUCGCUGCCGUCGUUUCCUUCGUCGACCUUCUCCCCCACCCUACACAUGCCUCUUGAACAGGUAAUGUUUGUCCUUCUUGGAAACGUCAAGGAGCUGAUCUCUAUGGAAUCUUCCCGCACCACAGAUAACAUCUAAGGAGUGACUGGGCAGGGUCGUCAGGAACAUUUUCCAAGACCCCUGACUUCCCAAGACCCCUGGCUCCAGGGCAGAAGUGAUGGAGGACACCUAAACACUUGUCUUUGUUCCUGAAUUCCUAAGAAGACACAGGUACCAGACCACAAUCCUCCAUAAAAACCCAUGGCCCCCAGCAAAGAUAAAGAUCACAAGUAGGGAGAGAAACAGGC